rnacentral:rRNA from 1 species
UACGAAGGGUGCAAACGUUGCUCGGAAUCAUUGGGCGUAAAGCGCACGUAGGCGGCGCUGCAAGUCGGACGUGAAAUCCCUCGGCUCAACCGAGGACGUGCAUCCGAAACUGCAGGGCUCGAGUAUGGAAGAGGGUCGCGGAAUUCUCGGUGUAGAGGUGAAAUGCGCAGAUAUCAGGAGGAACACCGAUGGCGAAGGCAGGUCUCUGGGCCACUACUGACGCUGAGAAGCGAAAGCAUGGGGAGCGAACAGG